AUUGAACGCUGGCGGCAGGCCUAACACAUGCAAGUCGAGCGGAUGAAGGGAGCUUGCUCCUGGAUUCAGCGGCGGACGGGUGAGUAAUGCCUAGGAAUCUGCCUGUUAGUGGGGGAUAACGUCCGGAAACGGGCGCUAAUACCGCAUACGUCCUGAGGGAGAAAGUGGGGGAUCUUCGGACCUCACGCUAUCAGAUGAGCCUAGGUCGGAUUAGCUAGUUGGUGGGGUAAAGGCCUACCAAGGCGACGAUCCGUAACUGGUCUGAGAGGAUGAUCAGUCACACUGGAACUGAGACACGGUCCAGACUCCUACGGGAGGCAGCAGUGGGGAAUAAUGGACAAUGGGCGAAAGCCUGAUCCAGCCAUGCCGCGUGUGUGAAGAAGGUCUUCGGAUUGUAAAGCACUUUAAGUUGGGAGGAAGGGCAGUAAGUUAAUACCUUGCUGUUUUGACGUUACCAAAAGAAUAAGCACCGGCUAACUUCGUG
rnacentral:rRNA from 1 species